GUGGAUCGGACGAAACUGAAGAAAACUCCCACGGAGGCGCCCGCCGACUGCCGGGCCCUCAUCGAGAAGCUGAAGGGCUGCAGUGAUGAGCAGCUGGUGACAGAACUGCAGCAGAUCAAGACAUGGAACAUUGGGAAGUGCGAGCUGUACCACUGGGUGGACCUGGGG